rnacentral:lncRNA from 1 species
CCGCUUGCAUCAAGUGCUCUAGUCUUUGAAACGCUAGAGUAGUAAUUGUAACACCCAAAAUUUUAUUUCGGAUUAAUAGGAUUUAAUUUGAUUUAAUUAAGUAUUUUUGUGAGCAUUUAAAGUUAGCACUUAAAUAAUUUUGUGGAAAAUAAAAUUUAUCAUAAGUUUUAGAAAUAUGUUUUUCGCAUUCAUGUUGGAGCACAUUUUAUUCUAUGCUUGUUUUUGGUGAGAAUUUACUUUUGCAUUCAAAACUCUCUUAGGAAAAGGCUUUGGAAAAAAAAAAUAAUUUGGAAAGAAAAAAAAAAGAGAAAGCUCCUGGAAUCCAGGCUGAGGCCCAGCUCCCCUCACCCCCAGCCUGCUCCUUUUCUUUUCCCCCUGCGCGCGGCCCAGGAAACCUCCCGAGGCCCAGCAACCCCGCGGCCCGCAUCCCUCCCCUCUUUCCUCUCUUUGCACCGCUGACAACCGGGGCCCGCAUGGCAGCGCCCACUCCUUCCCCUACCACUUGUCGUGGCCGGGUAGGAAUCGGUUGGAAGCAACCGAUCCCGAGCCAACUCCCAAAUCCCGA